GGGGGUGAUCGGUUUCGACUGCGGAAGUUGAGGCAGGGGAAGCGAGCCGAGGAACGCGACAAUGAUCUCGUUAACCAUGUGUCGCAAACCAAUAAUCGCCAAUUCUAAGCGCGAUUCCUUCGCGCUCGCCGCCUGAGGCGAGUAAUCGAAGGUGUCAGACCGGGUGUGUUCCCGACCCGGACCCUGGCAUAAUCUAGGGAACUCAACCGCCGGACCCGGCUACGGGGUCGGGCGGGAAACCAAACAGUAGCUGAGCCCGUCGGCGACUUGUUCGCGUGAUCGCCGGGGCUGAGAAAAUCACAGCGAACUGCGCUCGGAGAAGCCCUGGUUUGGUUCCGUAGGACGCGGGUUCGAUUCCCGCCACCUCCACCC
rnacentral:tmRNA from 1 species